GACGAACGCUGGCGGCGUGCUUAACACAUGCCAGUCGAACGGAAAGGCCCUGCUUUUGUGGGGUGCUCGAGUGGCGAACGGGUGAGUAACACGUGAGUAACCUGCCCUUGACUUUGGGAUAACUUCAGGAAACUGGGGCUAAUACCGGAUAGGAGCUCCUGCUGCAUGGUGGGGGUUGGAAAGUUUCGGCGGUUGGGGAUGGACUCGCGGCUUAUCAGCUUGUUGGUGGGGUAGUGGCUUACCAAGGCUUUGACGGGUAGCCGGCAUGAGAGGGUGACCGGCGACCAUGGGACUGAGAGAGGGACCAGACGGCUACGGGAGACAGCAGUGGGGAGUAUUGCACAAUGGGCGGAAGCGUGAUGCAGCGGCGCCGCGUGCGGGAUGACGGCCUUCGGGUUGUAAACCGCUGUCGCCUGUGACGAAGCGUGAGUGACGGUAAUGGGUAAAGAAGCACCGGCUAACUACGUG
rnacentral:rRNA from 1 species